AAACGCAAUUCGGCGUUUUAUGCAGUUUUAACAUUCUGCGUAGUAGGUAGAACCUACAUUGGACUUCUAUAAGGAGAAAUAUAAAAUG
rnacentral:ncRNA from 1 species